rnacentral:rRNA from 1 species
UUGAACGCUGGCGGCAUGCCUUACACAUGCAAGUCGAACGGCAGCGCGGGAGCAAUCCUGGCGGCGAGUGGCGAACGGGUGAGUAAUACAUCGGAACGUGCCCAAUCGUGGGGGAUAACGCAGCGAAAGCUGUGCUAAUACCGCAUACGAUCUACGGAUGAAAGCAGGGGAUCGCAAGACCUUGCGCGAAUGGAGCGGCCGAUGGCAGAUUAGGUAGUUGGUGAGGUAAAGGCUCACCAAGCCUUCGAUCUGUAGCUGGUCUGAGAGGACGACCAGCCACACUGGGACUGAGACACGGCCCAGACUCCUACGGGAGGCAGCAGUGGGGAAUUUUGGACAAUGGGCGAAAGCCUGAUCCAGCCAUGCCGCGUGCAGGAUGAAGGCCUUCGGGUUGUAAACUGCUUUUGUACGGAACGAAACGGUCUUUUCUAAUAAAGAAGGCUAAUGACGGUACCGUAAGAAUAAGCACCGGCUAACUACGUG